rnacentral:rRNA from 1 species
UACGUAGGGGGCUAGCGUUGUCCGGAAUCAUUGGGCGUAAAGCGCGUGUAGGCGGUCCGGUAAGUCCGCUGUGAAAGUCGGGGGCUCAACCCUGGAAUGCCGGUGGAUACUGUCGGGCUAGAGUCCGGAAGGGGCGAGUGGAAUUCCUGGUGUAGCGGUGAAAUGCGCAGAUAUCAGGAGGAACACCAAUUGCGAAGGCAGCUCGCUGGGACGUUACUGACGCUGAGACGCGAAAGCGUGGGGAGCAAACAGG